GGGCCCGCACAAGCAGUGGAGUAUGUGGUUUAAUUCGAAGCAACGCGAAGAACCUUACCAGGACUUGACAUACCACGGAUAUUAUAGAGAUAUAAUAGGCCUUCGGGACGUGGAUACAGGUGGUGCAUGGUUGUCGUCAGCUCGUGUCGUGAGAUGUUGGGUUAAGUCCCGCAACGAGCGCAACCCUUGUUACUAGUUACCAUCAUUAAGUUGGGGACUCUAGUGAGACUGCCGGUGACAAAUCGGAGGAAGGUGAGGAUGACGUCAAAUCAUCAUGCCCUAUAUGUUCUGGGCUACACACGUACUACAAUGGCUACUACAAAGGGGAGCAAGCCUGUGAGGGGGAGCAAAUCCCAAAAAGUAGUCUCAGUUCGGAUUGUGGGCUGAAACUCGCCCACAUGAAGUUGGAAUUGCUAGUAAUUGCAGGUCAGCAUACUGCAGUGAAUACGUUCUCGGGCCUU
rnacentral:rRNA from 1 species